UUGGACAAUGGGGGGAACCCUGAUCCAGCCAUGCCGCGUGUGUGAAGAAGGCCUUUUGGUUGUAAAGCACUUUAAGCGAGGAGGAGGCUACUCUAGUUAAUACCUAGGGAUAGUGGACGUUACUCGCAGAAUAAGCACCGGCUAACUCUGUGCCAGCAGCCGCGGUAAUACAGAGGGUGCGAGCGUUAAUCGGAUUUACUGGGCGUAAAGCGUGCGUAGGCGGCUUUUUAAGUCGGAUGUGAAAUCCCUGAGCUUAACUUAGGAAUUGCAUUCGAUACUGGGAAGCUAGAGUAUGGGAGAGGAUGGUAGAAUUCCAGGUGUAGCGGUGAAAUGCGUAGAGAUCUGGAGGAAUACCGAUGGCGAAGGCAGCCAUCUGGCCUAAUACUGACGCUGAGGUACGAAAGCAUGGGGAGCAAACAGGAUUAGAUACCCUGGUAGUUCAUGCCGUAAACGAUGUCUACUAGCCGUUGGGGCCUUUGAGGCUUUAGUGGCGCAGCUAACGCGAUAAGUAGACCGCCUGGGGAGUACGGUC
rnacentral:rRNA from 1 species